rnacentral:rRNA from 1 species
GACGAACGCUGGCGGCGUGCUUAACACAUGCAAGUCGAACGAUGAUCAGGAGCUUGCUCCUGUGAUUAGUGGCGAACGGGUGAGUAACACGUGAGUAACCUGCCCCUGACUCUGGGAUAAGCGUCGGAAACGACGUCUAAUACUGGAUACGACUGCCGGCCGCAUGGUCUGGUGGUGCAAAGAUUUUUUGGUUGGGGAUGGACUCGCGGCCUAUCAGCUUGUUGGUGAGGUAAUGGCUCACCAAGGCGACGACGGGUAGCCGGCCUGAGAGGGUGACCGGCCACACUGGGACUGAGACACGGCCCAGACUCCUACGGGAGGCAGCAGUGGGGAAUAUUGCACAAUGGGCGAAAGCCUGAUGCAGCAACGCCGCGUGAGGGAUGACGGCCUUCGGGUUGUAAACCUCUUUUAGUAGGGAAGAAGCGAAAGUGACGGUACCUGCAGAAAAAGCACCGGCUAACUACGUGCCAGCCGCCGCAGUAA